rnacentral:rRNA from 1 species
GACGAACGCUGGCGGCGUGCUUAACACAUGCAAGUCGAACGGAAAGGCCCUGCUUUUGUGGGGUGCUCGAGUGGCGAACGGGUGAGUAACACGUGAGUAACCUGCCCUUGACUUUGGGAUAACUUCAGGAAACUGGGGCUAAUACCGGCUAGGAGCUCCUGCUGCAUGGGGGGGGUUGGAAAGUUUCGGCGGUUGGGGAUGGACUCGCGGCUUAUCAGCUUGUUGGUGGGGUAGUGGCUUACCAAGGCUUUGACGGGUAGCCGGCCUGAGAGGGUGACCGGCCACAUUGGGACUGAGAUACGGCGCAGACGCCUACGGGAGGCAGCAGUGGGGAAUAUUGCACAAUGGGCGGAAGCCUGAUGCAGCAACGCCGCGUGCGGGAUGACGGCCUUCGGGUUGUAAACCGCUUUCGCCUGUGACGAAGCGUGAGUGACGGUAAUGGGUAAAGAAGCACCGGCUAACUACGUG